rnacentral:rRNA from 1 species
AGUGAACGCUGGCGGUAGGCCUAACACAUGCAAGUCGAACGGCAGCACAGUAAGAGCUUGCUCUUACGGGUGGCGAGUGGCGGACGGGUGAGGAAUACAUCGGAAUCUACUUUUUCGUGGGGGAUAACGUAGGGAAACUUACGCUAAUACCGCAUACGACCUACGGGUGAAAGCAGGGGAUCUUCGGACCUUGCGCGAUUGAAUGAGCCGAUGUCGGAUUAGCUAGUUGGCGGGGUAAAGGCCCACCAAGGCGACGAUCCGUAGCUGGUCUGAGAGGAUGAUCAUCCACACUGGAACUGAGACGCGGUCCAGACUCCUACGUGAGGCAGCAGUGGGGAAUAUUGGACUAUGGGCGCAAGCCUGAUCCAGCCAUACCGCGUGGGUGAAGAAGGCCUUCGGGUUGUAAAGCCCUUUUGUUGGGAAAGAAAGGCAGCAGGUUAAUACCCCGCUGUUCUGACGGUACCCAAAGAAUAAGCACCGGCUAACUUCGUG